rnacentral:rRNA from 1 species
UACGGAGGGUGCAAGCGUUAUCCGGAUUCACUGGGUUUAAAGGGUGCGUAGGUGGGUCUGUAAGUCAGUGGUGAAAUCUCCGAGCUUAACUCGGAAACUGCCAUCGAUACUAUAGGUCUUGAAUUUUCUGGAGGUUAGCGGAAUAUGUCAUGUAGCGGUGAAAUGCUUAGAUAUGACAUAGAGCACCGAUUGCGAAGGCAGCUGACUACGGGAAUAUUGACACUGAGGCACGAAAGCGUGGGGAUCAAACAGG